rnacentral:rRNA from 1 species
UGAACGCUGGCGGCGUGCUUAACACAUGCAAGUCGUACGAGAACUCUUCUGCUUGCAGAAGAUAGUAAAGUGGCGCACGGGUGAGUAACGCGUGGGUAAUCUACCUCCGAAUCGGGGAUAACCCGCCGAAAGGCGAGCUAAUACCGGAUAAUAUCUUUAAAACUUCGGUUUUUAAGAUCAAAGGUGGUCUCUACAUGUAAGCUACUGUUUGGAGAUGAGCCCGCGUACCAUUAGCUUGUUGGUAGGGUAAUGGCCUACCAAGGCCGCGAUGGUUAGCUGGUCUGAGAGGAUGAUCAGCCACACUGGAACUGACACACGGUCCAGACUCCUACGGGAGGCAGCAGUGAGGAAUUUUGCGCAAUGGGGGAAACCCUGACGCAGCAACGCCGCGUGAGUGAUGAAGGCUUUCGGGUCGUAAAGCUCUGUCAAGUGGGAAGAACCUGCUCGAUGCUAAUACCAUCAAGCACUGACGGUACCACUGAAGGAAGCACCGGCUAACUCC